rnacentral:lncRNA from 1 species
CCUCAAGAAAAUUGGUGUCACCCAUGUGCACAUUGGAAAUAUUUUUGGUGGUCAAAUCUAAGUGUGUCCCAAGGACCUUUAUGUACUUUCAUUUAAAACUUAGAAAACCUUAAAAAAAAAAACCAAACUUAAAAAAUCUUAAAGAUUUUCUUUGUGGGACCGUUUUCAUAAUCCAUAGAUGAGAAGGGACAUUUUAUUAUUCUGUGCCUCUCUAAUUCUGUGUUUUUCCAACUUAUUCACUUGGUAGUUUCUUUGUCCUUGCAUGCUUAGUGUCAGGAAUGUGUGAGCACUGCAGGUUCUGUUCCAUACAUUCUAGCACUGGCCCUCCCAGAGCUCUUGGUAUGACAGACUGUAUGGUAGUCUAGAGUAUGUGAUGCCUCAUUAUAUAUCGUGUGCAUAAUUCUCUUGUGUUGGUUAAGUUUGUGGUUUGUGCAUAAAUAAAUGAUUAUGACUCACCAUUAGGAACUGAAGGUAAGUUAAAUUCUUUUGUAGUGUUGACAUCACCACACCUGCCCAGAUUCAUUAUACAUAUUACUUUUGUAGUUAUUUUCUUAGCAUUGUGUGGUUUGACUUAUAUGAUUUCUUUGCCUUCCAGACUUUGACAUUUCACUGAAAGAUGGUGAACUGGGAAUGUCUUGGAAUGGAAACCCUUGAUGGUCUUGUUUUAGGAAACAUUUCUCAAGUGUCUACGUGUUGUAGAAGGGAAAGUUUUCGGAGGUGGCCACUUCUUCGGAAUAGUCUGAUGCCAUCAGGCCUCUGAAGCGAGGGGAGGGGAAGAGAAAAAAGCUGAAACACAGGGUUCAUCUGGUAAGUUUUACAAUAACAAUUACAAGCUGAAUAGUAUAGGAAUGUGGCUUUUUUUUGGCUCAAAAAGUCUGAGUCUUGGUGUAGCAACGAGUACGUGGCUGUCCCACCACAGCUUUCUCGCAGUGGGACUGUCCGGGAAGUCUUGACUGGGGACUAUGAUUUGUUUACCUAUCAGGUGUAUACUUCCAGGCACUCAGUUCAUUUUGGGCUUGUUCCAGUUUGUCUUUAGUCUGUUCCAGUUCACCUUUCAUUUUUAGGAGAAACAAGUUGAUCGCUGGGUCUGCCGUCAUUGAUCUCAGUUGGGCAACGCUAGGCUGCUGGACUUGCUUGAGGUACUGGAUUUGAGUAGUACACUCUUGUGUCUCCUGCUCCUUGGUAGCUAGUGUCAUUACAAGGAUGUUUUCCCUGCGGGCAGACUCUUGUUAUUGCUUUAGUUUUUCUUCAGACUCCCUUAACCCAGUUACAUCAUUAGAAUGAAGAUCUAUGUAUUUGUCCUCCAGAGCUUGGACGUGUGCUUCAUAUUGUUUCCAUCUUAGAAUUAACUCAUCUCAUGCCAUAACUUUAAAGUCUGUUUCACUCAGUUGAACCUUUUUUGGGAAGAGGUUCCUCGUUGGUCAUCUUGAAUCUUCUCCAGACGGAGGCUGUGCAGGUGCUACCCAGUCACACAGGCCAAGGUGACACUGCUGGCUCACUGCCCAGGCGACCAGACCAUGCUGCCGUUGGCCCCCAUGCUCCUCCUCUGGCCACAGCCCUGGCAUUUCCCUUUAUUUGCGGGUCUUGCUUGAGAUUAAGUUUUAAGUGAAGGAUCUAUGAUAUCAGACUACUAAAUGAGAAGAUACAAUAUUUCUUUGUAGUAACAUGGUCAUGAGAAAGUUAAGUUAGUGAGUUAACAAGAUUGGAUGGGAUCCCAGAACCUUUUCCUGUGACUGCUUCCUACCUCUUCAUUUUCCGUG